rnacentral:rRNA from 1 species
GAUGAACGCUGGCGGCGUGCCUAAUACAUGCAAGUCGAGCGAACGGACGAGAAGCUGGCUUCUCUGAUGUUAGCGGCGGACGUGUGAGUAACAUGUGGAUAACCUACCUAUAAGACUGGGAUAACUUCGGGAAACCGGAGCUAAUACCGGAUAAUAUUUUGAACCGCAUGGUUGAAAAGUGUAUGACGGUCUUGCUGUCGCUUAUAGAUGGAUCCGCGCUGCAUUAGCGAGUUGGUAAGGUAACGGCUUACCAAGGCAACGAUGCAUAGCCGACCUGCGAGGGGGAGCGGCCACACUGGAACUGCGACACGGACCAGACUCCUACGAGAGGCAGCAGUAGGGCAUCUGGCGCCAUGGGCGAAAGCCUGACGGAGCAACGCAGCGUGAGUGAUGAAGGUCUUCGGAUCGUAAAACUCUGUUAGUAGGGAAGAACAUAUGUGUAAGUAACUGUGCACAUCUUGACGGUAGCUAAAGAGAAAGCCACGGCUAACUACGUG